UACGAAGGGGGCGAGCGUUGCUCGGAAUGACUGGGCGUAAAGGGCGCGUAGGCGGAUGGCACAGUCAGAUGUGAAAUUCCCGGGCUUAACCUGGGGGCUGCAUUUGAUACGUGUGAUCUAGAGUGAGGAAGAGGGUCGUGGAAUUCCCAGUGUAGAGGUGAAAUUCGUAGAUAUUGGGAAGAACACCGGUGGCGAAGGCGGCGACCUGGUCCUUGACUGACGCUGAGGCGCGAAAGCGUGGGGAGCAAACAGG
rnacentral:rRNA from 1 species